GUCGGGGUAGCUCAGUGGUAGAGCAAACGGCUCAUAAUCGUUAGGUCGCGGGUUCAAAUCCCGCCUCCGACACCA
rnacentral:tRNA from 1 species